rnacentral:siRNA from 1 species
UCUCUGCGGUUUGAUGAUUAUA